rnacentral:rRNA from 1 species
UACGGGGGAGCAAGCGUUGUUCGGAUUUACUGGGCGUAAAGGGCGGGUAGGCGGCCACCGCAAGUCAGUUGUGAAAUCUCUGGGCUUAACCCAGAAAGGUCAACCGAUACUGCGGGGCUAGAGUGCAGGAAGGGGCAACUGGAAUUCGUCGGUGUAGCGGUGAAAUGCGUAGGAUAAUCGAGAGGAACACCUGCGGCGAAGGCGGGAUGCUGGGCUGACACGUGACGCUGGAAGCGACGAAAGCUAGGGAGCGAACGGG